GACGUAGGGGGCCAGCGUUGUUCGGAUUCAUUGGGCGUAAAGGGUGCGUAGGCGGCGCGGUAAGUCGGGUGUGAAAUCUCGGAGCUUAACUCCGAAACUGCAUUCGAUACUGCCGUGCUUGAGGACUGGAGAGGAGACUGGAAUUUACGGUGUAGCGGUGAAAUGCGUAGAUAUCGUAAGGAAGACCAGUGGCGAAGGCGAAUCUCUGGACAGUUACUGGCACUGAGGCACGAAGGCCAGGGGAGCAAACGGG
rnacentral:rRNA from 1 species